rnacentral:lncRNA from 1 species
UUUGAACAACUGUUUACUGGACAGUUUCUCUUACUAAGCUAUCAGCUGCUCAUAAAAUAUGAACUAUUUUUUAUUUUUAAAUUGUGGUUGCUUAAUGCAGAUAUUUCCAAAUGAUGUUCACAUGCUAAAAGAAAGAGUGAAGGAUGUUAGACGUGACACCAUCUGAAGGAAGACUUUGAUUGUCCUCUUCAGUGGGCCACUGCAUUCUUAUGGACAGUUCCAGAUUAGCUCUCAACCCCUUUCCCUUGACUAUAAACACUCGGAGAAGGCUCUUUACGGGGUCUACAUAGGUAAAUGAAACAUCCACCAUAUUACUGCCCUUCAACCUUACUGAGCUGCAAACAAUGAAGGGUUUAGCUCAAGUUGAAUGGGUGGGAAUCAAUUGGGACUGAUUGUAUUUAACACAAUGGAGUGCAGAUUGCAGUAACACAAGUUUAAUAAAGACAUGGUGAGCGAGAGUGUCAGUACACCAGGCCUUUAUCUCUUUGGCAGUUGCUUUUCUGCGACUGUGAACUGACAUCCUUUUCUCACUGAGACCCAGGUAAGAGAGGCAUAGCAGUUCAAGUUAAUGUGUCACAGAUGUUUUCUUACUCAGUUGUGAAAUUGCCCAUGCAAGCCGGCCUUGAAGGACCUUAAGGGAGGGCUUUGUGGUGAAAAGUUCUUAUCUAAGGGAAUGCUGAAGUACAAAAGGCCUGCCAUGGGUGAGAGACGAGGUGGAAAUGCUGCUACAGCACUGAGCCUCCAGACCCUCAACUCUCCUUUCCACCACCUCUCCUCUUCUCCUCCUUCACCUCCUUUCCACCCCAGCCACUUUUUACCAUGGGAGUCGCCUACAGCAUUGGAGAGGUUGACCACCUCAACACAUUCUUUGUCCAGUGGUCUCCAGGCAUGUACAACAAGGACAACAAUAGUAGGCACCACAAAAAGAUCCGCUACCUUGUAGGGAAAAAAGACAAGCUAGCUGUAAUUGACGAAUUAUUCCACAAUCCAUCUUCGCUCAUUGCCAAAAACUGGGAGGUGAGUUGUAACUCAAGGAUGCAUAUAACCUCCACUAUCUAGUGCAAUUAAAGCAGUUUUUCUAUGUAAAUAAUGGAAAGGUAUGAAACAAUUAAUUUGAAAACAUUUUAAAUGUUAUUUUUUUAAUAAACACGUAUUUAUGGUAGUCUUGUUGGGAUUAAAUAUCCCUCAACUAUCUUUGCUGGCGUAUGUAAUGCAGUACAAGGAGUCUAAUUGUGGCACAAACAGAUGUCUUUGCUCAGCUGUUAUGAAUGGGUAUUUGGUAGGGGUUUACAGUAAACCUGGU